AGAGACCCCAGGUCAGGCGAGACUACCCGCUGAGUUUAA
rnacentral:rRNA from 1 species